GGACGCGUUCUCCGGCAAGAGUGGUUUCAGCUGUUUUUUUGGACGUGCUAGUAGUUAACUCAUGGGAUAGAAAUACUACCGGGAGUGGUGAGAAACAAGACCUAGAAAGCUCAGAGAAAAGCAGAUGGAGAGUGGAGCUCUUGUCUGUCUUCUCGGCUCCUAACGGCAGCCCCAGAUUCGCAAUGAAGAGCCCCACGCCACAUGAAAUGUGAGCAAGUCCACCCACCUCAUCUACCCUGGCGGCCAGUUCCUCGUUGGACCAGAUCCCUUCUAUCAUAAGCUCCUCCUCAGCACAUGGUUAUUACUGGAAUGCUGGUGGUUUGGGCAACUCUUUUUCUGGUGAGAUGGUGCAGUGGGAAGGGACAUUGACUAUUUGAAGAGCAAACAACCAAGAUAAAAUCUUAAAAGCAGGCAGAGAGAAAAGAUACAGAAGACUCACACUGACUUCUCAAGUGAAACAAUGGAAGCCAAAAGACAAUAAAGUAAUAUCUUCAAAGCCCUGAAAGAGAAUAACUACGAGUGGAAGUCUAUGCAAGCACAGAUAUCCUUCCAAAAUAAAGAGGAAAUAAAUACACUUUUAGAAAAACAACGCUUGAGAAAUCUCAUCACCAGCUGACCUGCACAAAAGGAAAUCCUAAAGGGUGUUCUUCAGGCAGAAGGAAAAUAAACUCAAAUGUAAUCUGGGAGAUGCAGGAAGGAAUGAAGAACAAUAGAAAAGGUACAUCCCACUUCCAGCGGGUUGUCCCUCGGUGCUGGCUUGGCUUCUUGGGAAAAGAGUGAAGAAUCAGAGCCUACACGCUGCUGCUGAGCUCCACAGCCUCCAUCUUGCCUCCUCCUGUUUAGACGAUGCGGGUCCUAGUUCUGGGAAGCCCUUCCACCGGAUCGCAGAGCCUCUCUGAACUUCAGGCUCCUCAUCUAUAAAAUGGACCUCCCAAGGUGGUGGUUUAGUGCUGUCAGGGACAUGUUGGCAGGAGGACCGUGUGAGCUGUUGUGUCCACAGUAGCCUGGAAAGGGUGAGGGCAAAGGGCUGGGGGACCGGUCAGAAGGCACCUACCACAAUCCAGGUAGGAGGUGACAGUGCUGCAGCCAGGCUGCACGGCGAAGGAUGGGAGGGGCCCCCGGAGAAACCUGAAUCAGGUACCACAGUAACGGGGAACGUGGAGGAGGGCGUGAUUCACUCCAAGGCCGCUUUCCCAGGGGAUGUGACUCAGGCAGGAUUUUGAAAAAUGAGCAGUUCAGCAGGCACUCAAGAGGGUGAGAACAUUCCAACACCGGUGUGCCGGGGCCCCAUUGAGAGGGAGCCAGGCCUGUUUGGGGACCUAUGAAGCAGCAUCACAUCAGAGCAGAAGGGUCAGGGAAGGCCAGAUGGGGAAGGAGCUCGCCGCUCUGCCAAGGGUGUUGUCCUCUGGGCGCCAGGGAGUUCAGGAAGAAUUUUAAGCCUGGGGGCCGGUGGUGCUUAAGACCUAAAACUUGCUAUUAAGAAAAGUCCCGUGGUCACCAUGAACGGCCUGGGGGGAGGUGGCAGGGAAAACCCAGAGGGGAAGCAGAAAAUGAGGGCUGACCCCGGGGCAGUGGGAGAGAGGGAAGGAGGCAUGAGAACCGUUUAGGGAGAAGAGAGGAUCAGGGCCGUGUGGGUUUGGGGAAAGAGGAGCAGGCUGUUUUGAGGAAGAGAAUGAGUCAUGUGGGGGCCGGCUGAAUUGGAGGAUCCGCUGGGGGAUCAGACAGCCAAGCCCCAGAGCAGCCAAUGUUGGAGUCUGGAGCUCAGCGGAGGGGACUUGGGUCCAGAAGCCUCAAGGGACAGGUGGCAUUUAAGCUGUGGAAGGCCACCAGCUAAAAGGCAUCUCCAGAUUUUUACCUUUAGUAAGAUCUGAAUAGAGGUAUAUUUCCCUCCUCUUUGCCUCUUUCCCAAGGCCUUUGAGAGAUACAGUGAGAAAAACAUUCUUGAGGGUAAAGAGGAGGGAUCCAGGAGGGGAUCCUCCUAGGGCAGCACGGAGGAAUCCCUGGGCUGGUCCCACUUCACCCCACGGUGUCUGCGGGCAGAGGGGCCUGGAUAGGCAGGGCUCUUGGUAUCCAUUGUCCGUGGGUCUCUGCAUGCAGAUAUGUAAAGUUAUGUGUUUUCAUCUCCCCGUGAUUCCUGUUUUCCUGCAGCCCUUCCCGCUGAGGCGUAUGGCCCAAUGAAGUUGGAGGGGUGAAUUCGAAGCAAGACCUCAAGCAGGGGGUGAAGCGGACAUGAUGUAGAGAAGCUGCUGCUGAUGGCAUGUGGACCAGAAAAGGGGGGCCUAAGGAAGAGAGAACAUGAGAAGCAAAAAGGGCAGCCCCUUAACCUUCAACCUCAGAGGCUCGUGUGGGAGAAACCCAGUCAGGUCUGAGGGGAGAUCUCACAGCAAGGGGGUGGGUGGGACUUGACUCAGAUUGCAGUGGGGAGAAAUUUUAAUGACACCCCCUCCCUAGCAAACCAGCGAUGCAAGAUGGUGCCAGCACAAUAUGGUGCCAGUCAGGAGGUGGUUUGGAAUGGCUGAGGAAGGGAGUCUGGGAAGUGGCUUCAUGCAACGCUGCUCGUUCUAGUGAGAAUGCAGCCAGGUAGUCCUAGGUCCCAGGGGCCGCAGAGCCAAGAUCUGCCUCACCAGCUAUGUGCAGGGACCAUGCACUUUGGCUUCACCUCUUCCUGCCCCUACCCCACCAGCAAGCCCCAGGGACCAGAACCAUCUCUGUCCUGCGUGUGUGUGUGUGUGUGUGUGUGUGUGUGUGUGUGUAAGAAUGCAGGGGACUCCACUCAGACCUUCAACCCUCUUGUCCCACCACCGUGAGGCCCAUGAACAUCUCUCUGCACCAGGAAAUUAUCUUGGCUGGGAGAAGGCGGAAGGGUGAGAAAACCUUGGAAUACUGAGCAAUUUUACUCAAAAGAGACUGAGUUAAUCAUACAGAAAUGGAGCUAUGUCUAAGGGGCAAUUUAAUGCUUUCUUUUUGUUUGUUUUCUUUUUGCCCGUCAGUAGUAGGAAUUAUCAGAUCACGAUGAGAAGAGUAUAAGAAAAAGUAAGAACAAUACUGAUUUGACCCAUCUGGGUAGGUGUGUGUGUGUGAUCUUUAGCCCUCCCACAAUUAUGUCUGUACACGUUUGCUGGGGCAACUGUAUAUUUUCAAUUCCAAUCGUCAGACCUUUCCUUGAAGCUCACGUGUGUUUUGAUCUGGCCAGGAAUUGAGAAUCAUAAAAUCAUUAAAUCUGUAUUAAUUACCUAUUGCUGCAUAGUAAGUUAAUCCAAAAUUUAGCUGAAAUAAAUAUGUAUUAUCUCACA
ensembl:lncRNA